UCAAGUUUGAAAUCUAUUAGUAAAAGAAGAAUGUUAUUAAAUGUUGUCUUUUCAUUUUUUUGAAGAUGUUUAUUGUAUUUUUGUUUUUUUCCUUUUUUAAAAGAUGUUUAUUGUAAUUUAUUUUUCAGUAUUUCACAACAGAUUUUUAUUAAUAUUUUACUUAGUUCGAACUUUUUUUUUUUUAAUAAGUUUUCAAUCUGCAAUAUAUAUGGAACUACGAUGCCUAAAGUCUUAAAAAGACUUUACCGGCAGUGGAUAUCUUAGGGGAAAAGACUGAGUUUGAAGAUUCAUAAUUUUAUUAUGAUAAAAUAAAUGAUAUAACAAGUUUUGAUGAAGGUGAAUUAAUGUCAAAUAUGUGUGCUACCAAAGUGUAAGCAAGCUGGAAUUUUUGGAAAUAAAUCAUUUAAAAAAAACUUUAUCGAGAACAUUAGUGGCACAACCAGCAAAUUUCGAUUUGGUCGAUAAGUUGAAAGGCGAUUGUUUGAAAAGAAUAAUAGAAUAAAUAGCUUAAUAGAGUAGCAAAAAAAAACUACUUUAUUAUAUUUUGUAUGCUUAAAUUGUAAAUAAACACAAAGUGUUUAAA